rnacentral:rRNA from 1 species
CUCCUACGGGAGGCUGCAGUAAGGAAUAUUGGUCAAUGGACGCAAGUCUGAACCAGCCAUGCCGCGUGGAGGAUGAAGGUCCUCUGGAUUGUAAACUUCUUUUAUUUGGGAAGAAACCACCGAUUUCUAUUGGUGUUGACGGUACCAGAUGAAUAAGCACCGGCUAACUCCGUGCCAGCAGCCGCGGUAAUACGGAGGGUGCAAGCGUUAUCCGGAUUCACUGGGUUUAAAGGGUGCGUAGGCGGGUUGGUAAGUCCGUGGUGAAAUCUCCAAGCUUAACUUGGAAACUGCCGUGGAUACUAUCAAUCUUGAAUAUAGUGGAGGUGAGCGGAAUAUGUCAUGUAGCGGUGAAAUGCUUAGAUAUGACAUAGAACACCCAUUGCGAAGGCAGCUCGCUACACUAUUAUUGACGCUGAGGCACGAAAGCGUGGGGAUCAAACAGGAUUAGAUACCCUGGUAGUCCACGCCCUAAACGAUGAUUACUCGACAUCAGCGAUACACUGUUGGUGUCUGAGCGAAAGCAUUAAGUA